rnacentral:rRNA from 1 species
CCUACGGGAGGCAGCAGUAGGGAAUAUUGGUCAAUGGACGAAAGUCUGAACCAGCCAUCCCGCGUGCAGGACGACGGCCCUAUGGGUUGUAAACUGCUUUUAUACAGGAAGAAUAAGCCUUACGUGUAAGGUGAUGACGGUACUGUAAGAAUAAGGAUCGGCUAACUCCGUGCCAGCAGCCGCGGUAAUACGGAGGAUCCAAGCGUUGUCCGGAUUUAUUGGGUUUAAAGGGUGCGUAGGCGGUUUGUUAAGUCAGUGGUGAAAGUUUGCGGCUUAACCGUAAAAUUGCCAUUGAAACUGACAGACUUGAAUUUGGUUGAGGUUGCCGGAAUGUGUCAUGUGGCGGUGAAAUGCUUAGAUAUGAUACAGAACACCAAUUGCGAAGGCAGGUAACUAAACCAAUAUUGACGCUGAGGCACGAAAGCGUGGGGAUCAAACAGGAUUAGAUACCCUGGUAGUCCACGCCCUAAACGUUGAUUACUCGUUGUUGGCGAUACACUGUCNGCGACUAACGACGAAAGACGUUAACGUUAAACUACCUACCGUCGGGGUAGGGUACGGACCGACCGAAGGUUAGGUAAACGUUAAAGUUAAGUAAGUUAAGGUACGGUCGUUGAGUACGUUGCCGAACGGCGACGACGAGGGGAGGAGG